rnacentral:lncRNA from 1 species
GUGGAGGCUGUGGGGUCUGAGGGGACUGUGAUACCACCCAGACAUGGAGAAAGAACCAGGCAUGUUCUCUGUGAAGAAAGGCUCACAGCCAUCAACACAAGGCUGCACCUACUGUCCACACGGUUUGUAUGAGUUGACAGUGAGAAAUGAAAAGGCCCAUGGGAGUAGGUAUAGAGAUGUAGUUCGGUGCUUUGAUGUUGCAUUAAGGAUGAAAACGGAGAAAGAGACUUCCUCCUGGAGUACUUUAGACAUUCUUCCAUUCUCUCCUUGUGCCUCCCAUCUGUCUGAGUGGACAUGAAUUCAAUUCUCAGACCCACAUGGAACUGUUCACAAAUGCCCAAAACUCUAGCUUCAAGACAUCUCGUACCCUCUUCUAGCCCAAAGAGAAGCACGAGCUUACCUGUACAUAAUAUGAAUAAGCCAUUCUGCAGCAAGCAUGACAAUUUCCCUUGAAAAUAACUCUGUGAUUUCCAUCAGAUCAGGCAAUUGUUUAAAACUCAUCAUGAAAGUUGAGAGUUUCUGGUCCCAUACUUCAUUUAUUUUUCAUGUUAUU